rnacentral:rRNA from 1 species
GGCGAACCACACAAACGUUAUUCGGAAUUACUGGGCUUAAAGGGUGCGUAGGCUGUGCAGAAAGUUAGGUGUGAAAUCCCCCGGCUCAACCGGGGAAUUGCGCUUAAAACUACUGUGCUAGAGGAAGACAGAGGUGAGCGGAACUUCGGGUGGAGCGGUGAAAUGCGUUGAUAUCCGAAGGAACACCGGUGGCGAAAGCGGCUCACUGGGUCUUUUCUGACGCUGAUGCACGAAAGCUAGGGGAGCAAACGGG